CUAAUCAGAGCCUCUGAUGAACAUGAGGUGAAGAAUAUUGCUUCACCAAAAAAGAAAAUAUGUGGAGUGGGCUGCUGCCUCCUGGACUCAACGAAAGUGAUGUUGAGUUGAAUUCUGAAGAUGAAGCCGCAUCAGAAAACUCCAGACUUCACUUCCAGGAAGCUAAAGAAGAUCAUAUGACUAGAAACACAGAAAUCUCAGAUUUCCCGACAGAUGGACCAAAAACUGAAACAGAGGCAAAUGUAAAUGCAUAUGAAGAGUUCCCUUCUGGAAUUUCCUUACAUAUGUGGAAUAAAUUUCAAGAAUUGCAUAAAAAACAUUCUGAACAGAAAACCUCAACCUCAGGAUUCAGGAGGAAAAAAAGAAAACGCUCCAGGAAAGGUAAAUUGAAGAAUGAAGAGACAUCUUGUAGUGAACAAUCCUCAAAUGAAACCCAGUGGAAGGAGCUUACUCAGUAUUUUGGAGUCAAUGAUAGGUUUGACCCCCCUGUAAAAAAGAAAAAAAUUGACAAGUCAAGUCUUGAAAAGAGCAUAGACCAAGCUGUGGAAGAGUGGAAUAUCGAGAAGGCGGAGGAAUUCAGCAACCACCUGGCUACUCGCGAGCUUGGUGUUAAAAUUGCCAAAGCUAUCGCCUGCCACAACUUUGUAAAAGCCAAAAAGGAGGCUGAAAAUUCACAGGUUGUUCGAAAAAAGAAGAAACUUGCGUGGGGAUUUGAAGCAAAGAAGAGAUGGGAAACCAAAAGCAACAUGGGAUAUAUGUAACUUGCCAGAGUUCUGCAAGAUCUUUCUGACUCCCAAGUGCUUGAUUUACUGAUAAGAUUUUCUUGCUUACACUAAAUAUGCCAAGAAACAGAUAGAAGUAGAAAAACAGAGCCUAAAAUUUGGGAGUUGAUUAUCAAA